rnacentral:rRNA from 1 species
AGCCACAGCCGUAUCACCCUGCAGCCCAAGACUGGUUGCCCACUGAAGCUAAGCAGGGUUGAGCCUGGUCAGUACCUGGAUGGGAGACCUCCUUGGAAAACUUGGUUGCUGUUGGAA